rnacentral:rRNA from 1 species
AUUGAACGCUGGCGGCAUGCCUUACACAUGCAAGUCGAACGGUAACGGGCCUUCGGGUGCCGACGAGUGGCGAACGGGUGAGUAAUACAUCGGAACGUGCCCGAUCGUGGGGGAUAACGAGGCGAAAGCUUUGCUAAUACCGCAUACGAUCUACGGAUGAAAGCAGGGGACCGCAAGGCCUUGCGCGGACGGAGCGGCCGAUGGCAGAUUAGGUAGUUGGUGGGAUAAAAGCUUACCAAGCCGACGAUCUGUAGCUGGUCUGAGAGGAUGAUCAGCCACACUGGGACUGAGACACGGCCUAGACUCCUACGGGAGGCAGCAGUGGGGAAUUUUGGACAAUGGGCGCAAGCCUGAUCCAGCCAUGCCGCGUGCAGGAUGAAGGCCUUCGGGUUGUAAACUGCUUUUGUACGGAACGAAAAGCCUUCUUUUAAUACAGGAGGGUCAUGACGGUACCGUAAGAAUAAGCACCGGCUAACUACGUG